CGUGGCUAACCUGCCCUUAGGAUCGGAAUACCCCCGGGAAACUGGGGCUAAUUCUCAAUAGGCGAAGAACUCUGGAAUGAGUCUUCACUGAAAAGGCGCUAGAGUUAUGCUCUUUGGCGUCGCCCAAGGAUGGGGCCGCGACCGAUCAGGUUGUUGGUGAGGUAAUGGCUCACCAAGCCUUUUACCGGUGCGGGCCGUGGGAGCGGGAGCCCGGAGAUGGGCACUGAGACAAAGGCCCAGGCCCUACGGGGCGCAGCAGUCGCGAAAACUUUGCAAUAAGCGAAAGCUUGACAGGGCUAUCCCGAGUGCCAUCCGCUGAGGAAGGCUUUUACCCAGUCUAGAACGCUGGGGGAAUAAGGAGAGGGCAAGUCUGGUGUCAGCCGCCGCGGUAAUACCAGCUCUCCGAGUGGUGUGGAUGUUUAUUGGGCCUAAAGCAUCCGUAGCUGGCUAGGUUAGUCCCCUGUUAAAUCCACCGAAUUAAUCGUUGGAUUGCGGGGGAUACUGCUUGGCUAGGGGACGAGAGAGGCAGACGGUAUUUCCGGGGUAGGGGUGAAAUCCUAUAAUCCCGGGAAGACCACCAGUGGCGAAGGCUGUCUGCUAGAACGCGCCCGACGGUGAGGGAUGAAAGCUGGGGGAGCGAACCGGAUUAGAUACCCGGGUAGUCCCAGCUGU
rnacentral:rRNA from 1 species